UAAUCGCGCAUCAGCCACGGCGCGGUGAAUACGUUCCCGGGCCUUGUACACACCGCCCGUCAAGCCAUGGAAGCCGGGAGUGCCUGAAGUGCGUGAGCGCAAGCAGCGCCCUAAGGUAAAACCGGUGACUGGGGCUAAGUCGUAACAAGGUACC
rnacentral:rRNA from 1 species